rnacentral:rRNA from 1 species
ACAGCAGCCGCCACGGUAAUACGGAGGGUGCAAGCGUUAAUCGGAAUUACUGGGCGUAAAGCGCACGCAGGCGGUCUGACAAGUCAGAUGUGAAAUCCCCGGGCUUAACCUGGGAACUGCAUUUGAAACUGUCAGGCUGGAGUCUUGUAGAGGGGGGUGGAAUUCCAGGUGUAGCGGUGAAAUGCGUAGAGAUCUGGAGGAAUACCGGUGGCGAAGGCGGCCCCCUGGACAAAGACUGACGCUCAGGUGCGAAAGCGUGGGGAGCAAACAGGAUUAGAUACCCGCGUAGUCCCUGUCUCUUAUAC